GAUGGUUGUCGUCAGCUCGUGUCGUGAGAUGUUGGUUAAGUCCGCAACGAGCGCAACCCUAUGUUAGUUGCCAUCAUUUAGUUGGGCACUCUAGCGAGACUGCCGGUAAUAAACCGGAGGAAGGUGGGGAUGACGUCAAAUCAUCAUGCCCCUUAUGACCUGGGCUACACACGUGCUACAAUGGUUGGUACAACGAGUUGCGAGUCGGUGACGGCGAGCUAAUCUCUUAAAGCCAAUCUCAGUUCGGAUUGUAGGCUGCAACUCGCCUACAUGAAGUCGGAAUCGCUAGUAAUCGCGGAUCAGCACGCCGCGGUGAAUACGUUCCCGGGCCUU
rnacentral:rRNA from 1 species